rnacentral:rRNA from 1 species
UGCAGUCGAGCGGUAGAGAGAAGCUUGCUUCUCUUGAGAGCGGCGGACGGGUGAGUAAUGCCUAGGAAUCUGCCUGGUAGUGGGGGAUAACGUUCGGAAACGGACGCUAAUACCGCAUACGUCCUACGGGAGAAAGCAGGGGACCUUCGGGCCUUGCGCUAUCAGAUGAGCCUAGGUCGGAUUAGCUAGUUGGUGGGGUAAUGGCUCACCAAGGCGACGAUCCGUAACUGGUCUGAGAGGAUGAUCAGUCACACUGGAACUGAGACACGGUCCAGACUCCUACGGGAGGCAGCAGUGGGGAAUAUUGGACAAUGGGCGAAAGCCUGAUCCAGCCAUGCCGCGUGUGUGAAGAAGGUCUUCGGAUUGUAAAGCACUUUAAGUUGGGAGGAAGGGUUGUAGAUUAAUACUCUGCAAUUUUGACGUUACCGACAGAAUAAGCACCGGCUAACUCUGUGCCAGCAGCCGCGGUAAUACAGAGGGUGCAAGCGUUAAUCGGAAUUACUGGGCGUAAAGCGCGCGUAGGUGGUUUGUUAAGUUGGAUGUGAAAUCCCCGGGCUCAACCUGGGAACUGCAUUCAAAACUGACUGACUAGAGUAUGGUAGAGGGUGGUGGAAUUUCCUGUGUAGCGGUGAAAUGCGUAGAUAUAGGAAGGAACACCAGUGGCGAAGGCGACCACCUGGACUAAUACUGACACUGAGGUGCGAAAGCGUGGGGAGCAAACAGGAUUAGAUA